rnacentral:lncRNA from 1 species
CUUCACCAUUAUAAGUUUUGUGACUGCUCAAUAUUCCAAGGACUGAAGCCAUCAUUAUCUAAUCAAUUGUGUUCCCAUUGCUGAAAUUUUUAUGAUCAUAAAUAAAGCUAUGAUGAAUACAAGAAAAAUUGUUUUAAUGGUAUUAUCCACAAGGGAGUGAAUCCAGAAAGAAAAAUUAUGAAAUUUAAGAUAUGCUUUAAGGUGAGUUUCACAUUGAUUAAAAUCAUUAACUCAUCUUAACAAAACAAAUAUUUGUCCCACAACAAUUUAACAACACCCACAAAACUGAAUAAUUCGAGCUCUUGUAUGUCUGUAAGUCAUUCCUAGAAUUGAAUUAUUCAUCAGAUAAGAUUUAAAAUGAAGCAACAUAAACACUCUGUUGUCCAGGACUUUAAAAAGAAUGGUAAACUGCUCUUCUACUGCUCAUAUUCAUCCUAUGGACACAAAAUACAAUGGUGAAUUUUUAAAUAAGACAUUUUCUUUAUUUAUGGCUACUGUCAAGCAUAUAUAAGAAAAUAAGAGCUGGCAAAAAUUAGAUCAGAUGUGGCCCAGUCAACUCAGCAUUUUAUCUAAUGAAGAUGAUCCUAAAGAUCGAUUCCUAAGAAAACAUGCUAGUUGUCCUUGAUAGAAUAGAUCUUAAAAUGUUCAAGACGUAGGGGCCGGCCCCAUGGUUAAGUUCCCACGCUCUGCUUCAGCAGCCCAGGGUUCAGAUCCUGGGCGCAGACACGGCGCCGCUCAUUAGGCCAUGUUGAGGCAGCGUCCCACAUCCCACAACUAGAAGGACCCACAACUAAAAUAUACAACUAUGUACUGGGGGGAUUUGGGGAGAAAAAAAAGCAGGAAAAAAAAAAGAAUAUUGGCAAUAGUCAGGUGCCAAUCUUUAAAAAAAAAAAAAAGUUCAAGAGGUAGCACAAAAUACCACCACCCCUCCUUUUUUUUUAAUAAAAGCUGUUUAUCUUAUUGCUCAUUCCUUAAUCUGAAGAAAAGAACUGCUUAUGGACAGUGGAUGAAACAAAAGUGUUUACCUUGUACAAACCCUUCUAAAAUGACAAUAAAGGCACAUGCCUUCAGUAAUGAAUAGAAUGAGAGAGAAGAUAACAGCAAUAAAAUUUGGAAAGUUGGAUAACAAGUAUCUAUUUUAGCAGACUUGACAUCUUAUCACACAGAUUUCAGGCCUCAUUAUACCUUUUCCUUUUUUUAGUUAAAAAAAAAUUACAUGGGGGCCGACCUGGUGGAGUAGUGGUUAAGUUUGUGUGCUCCGCUUCAGAGGCCCAGCGUUUACUGGCUGGAUCCCAGGCACAAACCCACACACCAGUCCUCAAGUCAAGGAAGAUUGGCACAGAUGUUAACUCAGGGCCAAUCUUCCUCACACACACACACAUAAAAUUACAUGUAUAUCUGCUAAUUGUGAAAAACUCAAUACUCUGGGUAUAAUCUGGACAGUAUAGAGUUUUGAACAGUGUUCUUUUCUUGCUAUGACUGAAGUUUGCAUCUGCUUCUCUUUUGUAACCCAGAUCACACUGACUCUUAGUUAAGCUUGUGGUCCUUUACCUAAGAAUUGCUCCUACAUCAGAUGUUCCCCAUCCUGCACCAACUAAACUAAGCAUAGGAUUCUAUACAUCUGCCCACUUUAAAUGUUACCUGUUGGGGAUGGUGCUUUAGGUAUCUUGGAUACUAAUCCUUUCAAAUAUAAACACACACACACCUAAACACACCCACAUGUGUCUUCUGGACUGCGGCUGUCUUUCCUCUGUUUAUGGUGCUUUUGUAUAAAGAGGCUUUUAAUUUUAAUGUAGUAAAAUUAAUUGAUCUUUUUCUUUAAAGUUUGUGCUCUUUGUGGUUGGUUUAUGAACAGCUUCCUCAUCUUGAAUUCAAAUUUUUAAGGUUUAUUUCUUUUUUUUUCUCAUUCAGGUCUUAAUUCUUUUUGCCUUAAAAUGCAUCAGAUAGCUUUCUUUCAGUUAGUAUUUGCCUGCUGUAUCUUUUCCUAUACUUUUACUUUGAAAUAUUAUUUAUUUUUUUAAAUAAAAAUUUUAUAUAUUACAUGUAUCUGUUGCAAACAGUAUAUACUGUUUUUUAAUAUAAUAAGUAAAUAUGUUUUUAAACUAGUGAGUUUAAUCCAUUUAUCCUGAUUAUCAUGACUACUGAUAUAUUUGGGUUUUCCAUCACCUUAUUUUUUUGUUUUUUAGACUUCUUUGCCAUGCCUCUUCCCCCUCACUUCCUGCCCUCUUUCGGAUUACUGGGUUUUCUUUAUUCCCUCUUUCUCCUUAUUUAGUUUCAAACUUUUAAAAUUUGUUAUUUCCACUUUUAAAAAUUGUUACCCUUAAUAAUUUAUUAUGCAUACUUAACUUACCAAGUCCAAAAUUAUGGUGCUUUAUGGUUUUUGAAUUUUACGUUUUGCCUAGGGAGGCUAUUAUCAAGAGUAAAAAUAGUUUUAUUUUCUUGUAGUACUUUUAUAAUUUUUUUUGUGAGGAAGAUUAGCCCUGAGCUAACAUCCAUGCCCAUCUUCCUCCACUUUAUAUGUGGGACGCCUACCACAGCAUGGCUUGCCAAGCGGUGCCAUGUUCACAGCCGGGAUCCAAACCAGCGAACCCUGGGCCGCUGAAGCAGAACGUGCGCACUUAACUGCUGUGCCACCGGGCCGGCCCCAGUACUUUUAUAAUUUUUAUUUGUACAUUUUGAUUGUUAAUUCAUCUACAAUUCUUUCUGUAUAGGGUCUCGAGGAGGAAAUCUACCUUUAUUUUCCAAACAGAUAGCUAAUGGUCUCAACACCUCUUAUGUUGUCCAUCUUUUCCCCGUUGAUUUAAAAUAGAACCUUUAUCAUUGAGUCCAUUUAAAGAUGGGUCUAUAUCUGUACAUCCUACUUUAUACCAAUCUGUCUUUCCCUUGCAUUUACCAAACGAUCUUAAUUACUCUUGAUAGUCUAAUAUCUGACAAAGCAAGUCCUUCCAGCUCCAUUUGCUACACAUUGCUCUUUAAAAGAAAAAAAUUUCUUAAUUGUCUUUUCUUGUCUAUAGUCUCUCUUCAUAUAGUCAAGUCCCUAGCCUCCCAAGAAUUCCCAUUGAAGUUUUGAUUGAGAUUACUUUGAACUUAGAGAUUAAUAAGAGAGACUGACAUCAUUAUAACAUUGAAUUUUCCCAUCCAAGAUUAUAAAUCUCUUCAUUUAUUCAAAAUGUUUUAAACUGUCUUUCAGAAAAUAUUUACAAUUUUUUUCAUUUAAGUCACACAUUUCUUGAUGGGUUUCUACUUUUGUUAUCCUUAUAAAUAAGUUUUUCCAUUACAUUUUUUCAUUAGUUAUUGCUUGCAUACAUGAAGAUGUUGAUUUUGUUUAUCUUAUACUGAGCCAUUUUAUUGUACUCUCUUAUUAAUUCUAAUUAGUGUUUCAUUAGUUGUCUUAGAUUAUCUAAACAGGCAUUCAUAUUGCCUGUAUAUGAUUUUUGUCUCCUCCUUUGCAGUAUUUACCUCUUUAUUUAUUUUCUUCUACAUCGGCUAAGACCUCUAGAAUACUGCUGAAUAGCAGCAAUUAUAGCAGGCAUUCUUGUCUUCCUCAUGAAAAGGCUUCUAAUAAAGUAUGAUGUUCAAUUAAGUGUUUUAAUAGAUCGCCCUCAUCAAAUUAAGGCAAUUUGUUUCUUUCUUUCUUUCUUUCUUUUUUUAAAGCUGCAGUGCAUGGUUGUAUAUCCUAGUUGGUAGUUUAGUUCUCUAUGUGAGCUCCCGCCACAGUAUGACAACUGACAGACAGGUAGUGUGCUUCCACAACCAGAAAAGGAAACUGGGCGGUGGCAGUGGGAGAACUGAAUCUUAACCCACUAGACCACCAGGGCUGGCACUAAGGCAAUUUCUUUCUUUUUCCUAGUUUACAGUAGCUUUCAUCAGGAAUGGGAGUUGAACUUUAUCAAAAGUUUUCUCAGCAUCUUACAAGAUUAUCUUUUUAUUCUUUAGUCUCUCAGUGUAGUGAACAUAUUCCCUACUGUCAAACACUUGCAUUACUGGAAUUAAUACUACUUAGUCAAUUCAAUUCACUCAACAACAAUUUAUGAACCUAACACAGGUCAACCACUUUUCUGGGCACUUGGCAUGUAUUAGGGAACCAACAAUGAUUCCUCAUGGAGCUAUAGUCUAGCAGAUGUCUAUGAUCUAGUUUUCUUUUAACCCAUUGCUGAAUUUAUUUAUUUUUUACCUUUGAGGAAGGUUAGCCCUGAGCUAACAUCUGCUGCCAAUCCUCCUCUUUUUGCUGAGGAAGACUGGCCCUGAGCUAACAUCCAUACCCAUCUUUCUCUACUUUAUAUGUGGGACACCUGCCAUAGCAUGGCUUGACAAGCAGUGCGUAGGUCCACACCCAGGAUCUGAACUGGUAAACCCAGGCCACCAAAGCAGAACAUGUGAACUUAACCACUGCACCACCAGGCUGGCCCCCAUUGUUGAAUUUAAAUUGCUAAUAUUUGAUUUAGUAUUUUUAUGUUUACAGUUAUAAGUGAGAUGGACGUAAGUUUUUCUUCUUUGUGCUAAUCUCUGCUUUCCUUGUCAAGGUUAGGUUAAUCUUGUAGAAAUAUAUUGCAAGUGUUUUGUUAUUUUCCAUGCUAUAGGAAUGUAGAAGUAACAGAUGAAUUUCUCUCUCCCUUAAAGAUUUUGUAUAACUUGCCCAUAAAAUCUAGACCUGGGGUCUUUCCUUUUCCUUUAAAAAAAUGUUUUUAAUUGUAAAAAAUACAUAAAAUUUACCAUCUUAACCAUCUUUAAGUGUAUAGUUCAGCAGAGUUAAGUAUAUGCACGUUGUUGUGCUCUUUUCCUUUUUAAAUACAUUUCUUUUGCUACCUUUUCAAUUGCCUCUACGGUUAUUGGGCUGUUAGAGUCUCUACCUCUUUGAGUGAAUUUUGGUUUGCCUUUCCUAGAAAUUCCUGUUUCACUUAGAUUUUAAAUUUAUUGCUAUAAAGUAGUACACAAUACAUUUUUAUGCUUUGUAAAUCUUCACUAUUUCUGCGAUUAUGUCCCCUUUUCAUUCCCAAUGUUGUUUUUUUGUAUUUUCUCUCCUUCCCCAUCUUUCUCUUUUUAUCAGAUGUACCAAAGAUGUGUCUGUUUUAUUGAUCUUUCAAGAAAUCAGCUUUUGGAUCUACUAAUCAAGUAUACUUUUUAUUGUUUGUUUCAACUUCCUUACCUCUUUUAAUUCCAUCCCUUUGCCUUUUUUAGAGUUGAUGUUCUUCGUCUAACUUAUUGAGUUUAAUAUUUGGUUCAUUGAUUUUCAAUCUUUCAUGUUUUCUAAGUGCAUUUCUAAAGCUGUACAUUUUCUUUUUAAUACUCCUUUCUGUAUACUAUAGGUUUUGCUAUAUAAUGUUCUCAGUAUUGUCUUUCAUUUCAGUUUUGAUUUUCUUUUAACCCAAAGCUAUUUGCAAGUGUUCUUUUUACCAUACAAGCAAAUCAUUAUUCUUUUUGGUUACUUGUUGGCAGUAUAUAUUCUUUUCCCCUCCCCUCACACUCAUUCCCGCACAGAGAACCAGUCCCCCACUUGAGGGCAGACUACUCCCAAGAUGGGCCUCACCCAGUGGGCUGAAGAUCAGCAUGCCCUCUCUAGCCUGUGGUCCCACACUCACUGCACCCUGCUCUGCCAUGUAAGGGUCAUUUUACACAUUUGUCUUUCUCACCAGCUGAGGCCUUUUGGUAAGGAAUUCGGAGAUCUGUUAAUACUACAUUUUGAAACAGUAUUUCUCAAAGGGAGGUCCAGAGACCUUGUGCAUCAGAAUCACCAGGUGGUACAAAUUAAAAGUAUAGCUCCCAGAGCCUCUUUAAGAUCUAUUAAGUCAGAAUCUCCAGGGGUGGAGGUCCAGGAAUCGCCUUUUUUCUUUUUUUUUUUGCAGGGAAGGAUUCACCCUGAGCUCACAUCUCUUGCCAAUCUUCCUCUCUUUUUUCUUCUCCCCAAAGCCCCAGUACAUCAUUGUAGAUUCUAGCUGUAAGCCCUUCUAGGUCUUCUGUGUGAGGGUCUGCCACAGCAUGGCAACUGACAGACAGGUGGUGCGGUCCCACAACUGGAACUGAACCGGGCUGCUGAAGCAGAGCAAGGAACUUUAACCACUAGGCCAUCAGGAAUGGCUCUGUGGUUUUUAUCUAAUGAACAGUAUUGACAGUUCUAUUAAAAUAGUAUUUCUGUUAAACACCGCUUUUCAACAUGUAGGGCUUUUUUAAUAUCAUUUGAGGAAAACAUUUAGUUUCAGUCCUUUUUAGGCACUCUUUUUAACUGCUUUUUCUAUGUGAGCCACCACCACAGCACAGCAACUGACAGACAAGUGAUGUGGUUCUGUGACAAGGAAACGAACCCAGCCACAGAAGUGGGGAGAGCACCGAACUUUAACCACUAGACCAUCGGGGCUGGCUUGUGGGAAUCUCCAUUUUAACAAGCACCCCAGGGGCUGGCCUGGCAGCAUCGUGGUUAAGUUUAUGCAGUCUGCUUCGCUGGCCCAGGGUUCGCAGGUUUGGAUCCCAGGUAUGAACCCACACACCACUUAUUAAGCCAUGCUGCAGCAGCAUCCCAUAUACACAGUAGAAGAUUGGCAUGGAUAUUAGCUCAGGGAGCAUCUUUCUCAAGCAAAAAGAGGAAGAUUGGCAACAAAUGUUAGCUCAGGGCCAAUCUCCCUCACAAAAGAAAGAAAGAAACAAGCACCCCAGGUGAGUCUAUUCCAGCAUAGAGAAGUUUGACGACUAUUGCUCUACAUGAUACUCUGAUAAGCUUCACUUAGUUCAGAGCAAGGCAACUUCGUAGGAAGGUUUUAAGAACCAUGUCACAUAAAGAAUAUUGAAGAAACUUAGGCUGUGUAAAGCUAGAAAAAAGACUUGGUGGGGAGAACACAAGAGAUGCCACUCAUAUGAAAGAUACUUUAAAUUUACUCCAUGUAGUUUUUAAAGGGUUAAGUCCAAAGGGUAAACAUUAGAGGGAGAAAGAUUUGGCUCUAAUAUAAGGAAUAGAUCUCUAACAAUUUGAACUCUUCAAAAAUGGAAUAGCUGGGGCCAGCCUGGUGGCACAGCAGUUAAAUUCGCACAUUCCAGCCCAGGGUUCACCGGUUCGGAUCCCGGGUGUGAACAUGGCACUGCUUGGCAGGCGAUGCUGUGGCAGGCAUCCCACAUAUAAAGUAGAGGAAGAUGGGCAUGGAUGUUAGCUCAGGGCCAGUCUUCCUCAGCGAAAAGAGGAGCAUUGGCAGCAGACGUUAGCUCAGGGCUAAUCUUCCUUUAAAUAAAUGAAACAGCCUUCUUGUGAAUUAGUGAGUUCCCUCCUAUUUGGACAUAUUCAAGCAGAUAAUGGAUGACUUUGUGCUAGAGAUGUUGAAGAGAGACUUUGACAUCAGGCAAGAUAAUUUCUACAUUCCCUUCCAACUCAUAGGAUUCUUAAGAUCCUCUAAUUUUAGGUUCAUGAGCUCAGUAAGAGUUAUGAUCGUUACAACAUUUCCAGAUGAUAUUGGACACCCAUUUCUUCAUAAUCAAUGAUUCAAAUACACUUUUUGAUUUAACACAAUGUAUACAAAAAUUGUUUUGAGUAAAUAAAAUCUCACACAACUAUAUUUUUCCAAAUUUCAGAGCUGUUUAAAGGUUUAGUUUCUUUCUGCACAUAUAUGUGAUGCCUAAUCCCAUUCUAAGAGCUAAAAACACAAAACCCUUACCAAAAUUAGACGUGCAAUGACCAAAUAAACUCAUCCACUGCUUACCUGAAGGUCAAGGAUAUGUGGCAAAGAAUACUAUUUAUAACAACCCAAUAUUACAAUCUGGUCUAUAAAAUAACCCAUCCUCACAAAGUUGAAAAAAUGAGUUUAAAAUAUGAAGCAGUGACAAGAUGUAUUAACUUGUGAAAAUGGUUCUUUAAUUUGUGCCUUUAAGUUGAUAGAAAAAAACUCAGUACUACAAUAGAUAAAUUAUAUAUCACUAUGUUUAUGUAGUAUUUGUGGCCAAGGUCCCUAAACAGAAAGUUAUCCAGGGGCCAGCCCCGUGGCAUAGUGGUUAAGUUCAGCAUUCUCUGCUUCAGCAGCCCAGGUUCACAGGUUCAGAUCCCACACGGAGACCUACACCACUUGUCAGGCAUGCUGUGGCAACAACCCACAUACAAAGUCGAGGCAGACUGGCACACAUUAGCUCAGGGCUAAUCUUCCUCAAGCGAAAAAAACAGGAAGAUGGACAACAGAUGUUAACUCAGGGCUAAUCUUCCUCAGCAGAAAAAAAAAAUUAUCCAGUGGUGCCACGGGGAUCAAUAAUAGCAUCAAGAAUUAUUAGAUUCAGGACUGGCCUGGUGGCAUAGUGGUUAAGUUUGCACACUCUGCUUCAGUGGCCCGGGGUUCACAGGUUUGGAUCCUGGGUGCAGACCUACACACUGCUCAUCAAGUCAAGCUGUGGUGGCAUCCCGCAUACAAAAUAGAAGAGGAUUGGCAACAGAUAUUAGUUCAGGGCCAAUCUUCCUCACCAAAAAAAAAAAAGAGAGAGAGAGAGGAAUUAUUAGAUUCAGAUUUCAUAUUUUAGUUGAAAAAAGAUAACAUUUGUUUUCAAAUUAAACUCUUAAAAUAAAGAAUAUUAUUCAACAUAUACCAGAGUUGAGGGAAAUUUUUGGAAAAAGGAGACAAAAACGUAUUGAGGAAGUCAACUUACUUUCCAGAGAACUCCACUAAUAUUAGAACCAAACAUUUUUAUUAGAUACUAACUUACUUGCUUUUUUGUACCUUAUGUCAUCUUCUCUAGUUUGUGUUGUUACAGUCCUGCAUAUGUUAAAUAAAAAAACAAACCAAUUAUAUAUUUUGCAUGAUCAAUACGUUACAACAUUAAGAUCAGACUAAUAAUACAAACGCACUCCACUUUUUUUUUAAACUCCCUGCAAUCGUACAGCAAGUCCUCAAGAACAUAAAAACGUGAACAAAAAGGCUUUAUAUUUAUCUUACAGAAGGUAUAAACAUCAGUUAUAAAGAGAUGCAAGCCUUAUUUAGUUAAAUAUAAUUAACAUGAUUACAAAAGCAUCUCUAAUAAAGCAGACAAAAUAAUUACAUUGUUCAUAGUUCUACUCAGAGUUCACUGAACUGUUAAAAACAACUUCAAAAACAAUCAAAUGCAAAGGCAAAUCCCUACUACACAAAUAAAAUAAAUGCAAAGAAUGGUUAACCUUUGGAUAUUGACCAAGCAUUCGUUUUUCCCCAGUCUAAACAACCUUGUCUUAAUUCCUAUGGCAUACAGGACGGAUUAGAAAAGAAGAGGCUAAAAAUUAGCUGUUGCAGAGUUCCAGGAGUGUGGCAUAUGGGUGAUGCAGUAACAGUGGAAUUGAAGGGGGAAAGGCAGUCUUCCCCCCAAAACCUGCUCUUCCUGCAGUCUUCUUCAUCUCAGUCAAUGGCAGCUUCACCGGCUAAUUGUUCAGGCUAAAAACCUGGUACCUUGCUGGCACUCCUGUUGCACAUAUCCUUCAUCCAAAUCACCAGCUAAUACUAUCACAGUCUCCAGAAUCCAACCAUCCCCUCACCAUCUCCACCUCCCUGGCUAAGAUCUCCCAUCUCUCACCUGGAUUAUUGUAAAUGCUACUAACCAGUCUCCCUUUUUGCCUUUGCCCUCUGGAGUUUAUUCUCAACCCAGGAGCCAAAUUGAUCCUCUCCUCAAAGCUCUCUAGUGACUUCCUGCUUCAAUUCAAAAUAAAAGUCAACGCCCUCAUAAUAGUGUCCUGCAGAAACUGCUCCCCAUUAUCUCUUUCCCCCUCACUGCCUCAGCUCCAGCUGCACUGGCCACUUUGCUCUUUUAUGAACAGACCACUCCCACCUCCAGGGUUUUGCAAUUGCUCUUUCUUUUACCUGGAAGUUUCUUUAUUUAGAUACCACAUGGCUUGUUCCUUUCACCUCCUUCAGGUUUCUGCUUAACGUGCACUUCUCCACAAAUAAUUCCUGGACCACUCUAGUUAUAACUGCAAACCUUACACAUCCCAAUACUCCUCCAUCUCCCUUCUUGAAACCUGUUUUGUUUUUCUCUAUAGAAUUUAUCACUACCUAAUUCCCAUAAAUUUUACUUAUUUUGUUUGUCUGAUUGUCCUCACUAGAUGGUAAACUCAAUGAGAUUAGGGAUUUUGUCUGUUUUGUUCAAUGCUAUUUUUCCAUAGCUAGCACACAGCAGGUGUUUCAUAAACACUUGUUGAAAGAACGAAUAUCCACCAUUAAUCCUCUAGCGACCAGUGUUGAGAACUAGAUGCCUUACACCAUUUGGGGUGCUUCAUACCAGUGCUAAAGCAGAUGCAUACAUAGUUAGAUUUAUAUUAAUAUACUACUCGCAGAAAUUGAACAAGACAUGUACAGUAUGCAGAUAUAAAGCAAAGAGAAUAAUUUCCAUGUGCAAAAUAUAAAACUCCUAGAUUUCUGAACUGAGGUUUUCAAAGUCCAUUUCCUUCAUUUGAAAGACAGAAGUCUAGUGAGCUUAAAUCAUUUCUGAAGCUCAUCCAGACAUUAGCAGUAAAAUAUACUACAAGUCAGAUUACCUGGCUCUCAAUUCAGUGUUCUUUUCAUUCUAUCAUGGUACUCUUUAAACUUGAGCAUUCCUCUGACCAGGAACUGAAUCAUUCUAUAGCCUCUGAGUUGAAAUCACUACAUCACCAGGAAAUAAAUGUCUAACUCCCAAUAUUAUUCCUCAAUUAAGUCAUAGUGAGUAGAUGUUGCUGUAUUCUUUCAAUGAUAACUAGAAAUUAAAGGGAAAGAAACCAAUUUCACUAUUAAUUGUAAAUUUUGUGCCAUGAACAAAGGAAGCUGUCAUUUGCAUUACAGUAUUCUGGGUAUAAGCAUGGAUUCUGGUAUUCACACCUCCAGGUUCAAAUCCCAGUUUUGUCACUUAUUAGUGGAAAUCUUCUUAAUCUCUCUAAGCUCUGAUUUUCUCAUUUUUAAAAAGAGGGUAUCGGCCCUACUUAUGUCUUUGAGUUGUGAGAAUAAUGCACAGAAAGCACUGAGCACAUGGCCUAACACAUACAUAUUCAUAUUGACAGAUGGACUGUCAAUUGCAAUCAGACAUGAAUAGAAGUUAUAAUCAGAUACACCCCCUUCAAAUUUUAGAUGUUACUUUAUAUUUAUUAAACUAAUCUCCCAAAUUAGAAUGCUUGUUGAUUUGAACCUUAUAGCAAUUAAUUUUACCUAGUUCCUUAAGAAGUGAAAAAAUUAUAAAGCAUUUUAUAACUCAUGCAACAACUCAUAUCCAUUUAGCAAUUCAUAUUCAUGCAACAAUUCAAUAACAUUUAAAGCCAAAAACAGAUUAAACUCAACAUUAAAGAAUUUUGUAAUCUAUUUUUGCCAAAACAAUGCAUUUUCCCUCAUUCAUGUAGCCAUUACUCAGUGGGCCAGCACCCUGUUACAAAGAGCCUAUUAGUUAUCGGUACCUUCUUGGUGGUCCAAGGGCGCCCUCUGCCUGAACACUGAAAAACUCAAAGCUAAAUUAAAUACUUUUUAAAAACUGAUGCUUUCUCAAGUGAAUUCUUAAUCAGUAAUUCUAUGAAAUUAAUCCUCUCUUUAAUCACUGCUACAGAUAGUCAGAAAAAAACAAAUGUUAGUCAGAAAAAAACAAAUGUCGUGUCAUCUGUUACAAGAGCACCAGAAAGGUCAAGUUUACAUCCCUGUAAUUUACCUGGGAGUUUGGAAAGAAAAUCCAUGAUAUUUUCCCCAGAAUUUAUUCCAUAUCAUUCAAUAAAUUAUUGGCGUGAAUCACCUAAAUCAGUAUAUUGAUCUCUUUGUUUUGUCCACGUAAAACUCUACACUUUACUUAAUAUGCCAUUGUAGCACUUUGCCCAGUAAUGAGUAUCACCAACAUCAAAUAUUUAUUGGGUAUCUUCUGUGUACAGGACACUGCAGUAGGUCAAAAGGAUGGAAAAAACCCAUUCUCUAUCCUCAAAGAAAUGAUUGUCUACUUUCUAAAAAAGGAUGCGCACAAAGAAAUCUAUGGUAAGAUGCCCACUGAAAAAGAUAGGCUUCUCCCAUUUGCUGCUUUCUGCGUCACCUUAGGAAAAUUAGCUGACUUAUCUAAACCUCAGUUUAUCUGUAAUACGGAGAUGAUACUCACCUCAAAACAAAGUUGCAAAAGUUAACUGAGAUCUUUGCAAAGGGCUCAGCACAUGUAAAAUAUCAGUAAAAGGUGGUUGCUUAUAUUUAUUAGUAUUACUAAGAGAAAUCUUGAGUAACAACAUCCUACAUUAAAUUUCAUUGGCUUCAAAUAGAAAGAUGUGUAAACAAAAUAUUUUGUAUCUUAUUUUUUCAACAUUAAAUGUUCUCUCCAGUGAAGAAAAACGUGUGACCCUGACCAAAUGCUUGAUCAAGUCAAUAUUGAGCCAUUUGUACAGGAAUUAUUUCAUUAUAAAAAAUAUAAUUAAGACUACUUUACCACUAAUGAAAUUUAAGGAUUUAUAAGAACACACAUUUUUCUGGUACUUACUUCAGGUAGCUUGCCUGUUCUCUUGAAACAUCUAAAAUGUUAAAAAUAAUUCUAUCACAUUUUAUAGUCAUCUACAUUUCUAACACAAAGAACAGCCCAAGAACAAAAUCAUGAUCACCAAACGGAUCUUAGCAAUAUACAUAUAUAAUUUCAGAAAUAAGAACUUAUACAUCUCCUUAACACUACAAAGCACUUUUAAAUUCAUUUUGUGAAUUUUAACAAUUUCUCAGGGAAGCAAGCACAUGACAAAUAUUUUUUAUAUUCAAUUUGUGGGUGGGGAAACUUAUAAAUAGUAAAACUAAGCACAGUACAAAAUAUUUGCUAAGAAAGAGUAAUUAAAGCUAGCCUAAAGACUACAUGUAUUAUCUCCCCUAAUUCUCACACCAAACUAAGGUGGGGGUCAUUUUCUCCACUUAGAAAUGAGGAAACUAAGGCACAGAGCAGUUACGUAGCUUGACAAAGUCCCGCAACUGGCACACAGAAUAAUCAAAUCCAGGUCGUCUGAUUCCAGAGUCUGCGCUCUCAACCUCUAUAUAUACUUCCUACGGCUUAAGAUAAUAAUUUUCUUAAAUAUCCAUAAGUCUAUGUGACAUAAAUGGGGGGAAAGGAUAGCUCUUUUUUACCGAAGAAUUCCAAAUAAUAACUAUAGAACAAAUGAGGAAAAUACUUAGCAUCAGGUAAACACCAAUUGUUUCAGGCAAGAACCAUCAAUGCCUUCUGGCUAAAAUUAGCAGGUGAAAUUACGAUGAGAAAUAGGAUAUUUGUAACACAUCAAGGCAUCUCUCCAUAUAAUAUUUAUUAAUUACAAGGAGAAAAAUAGUAACUCUACAGUGGAGAAAGCAGCAGACACCACCUAAACCAAGUGACCAAAGUUAACAUCACCACCAGAAAGGCAGAAUCAUUGAAAUUACUGAGUGCAGACAGAACCCUUCAUGCAAAUAAUUUUACUUUCCUGAGGAAGAUUAAGCCUGAGCUGACAUCUGUUGCCAAUUUGCUUAUUUUGCUUGAGGAAGAUUAGCCUUGAGCUAACAUCCAUGCCAAUCCUCCUGUGUUUUGUAUGUGGGUCACCACCACAGCAUGGCUGAUGAGUUGUGUAGGUCCAUAACUGGGAUCCGGGCCACCAAAGCAGAGCACGCUGAACUUAACCACUAGGCCACAGGCCAGCCCUGCAAAUAAUUUUUACUUAGUGAUGUAAAACUUUUCAGUAGUUUUGCUACCACAAAGUUCAGUACUAAACCACCAACUGUGAUAAAAAUCUAACAAAUUCUGAGUUUGGUAGGCAAUAAACAUCUGAAAUCACUUGAAGCAUAUUUGUCCUAAGUUUUGUCUUUGUGAAAAUUGUAUGCUUUACAAAUUAUGGUGGAGCAGGCCAAAUCUUCCCAUUAAUAUUUCCAUUAUUGUAUAGUAAUGCAAGAUAAAGUUAUUAUGGAAAUUAUAUUUGGAAGCUAUAGUUUACAAAUACUGAAAUUGAUUCUAUUUUUAAAUUUUCUUAUCAAAGGGGAUUAAAUACAUCAUAAGUAAGCAAUAAGCUAAAAGAUCUGUCUACCUUUUGAUUUCAAAUAAUCAAAGCUGACAUUUAUUGAACAUUUACUAUGUGCCAUUUUUUCUGCAUUUCAUUUAAUUCUCACAAUUUCAUAAGGCAGAUUAUAUUAUCACCAUUUAUCAGAUGAGGAAAUGGUUAGAGAGGCUAAGAACAUUGCACAAGGACUGACUGUCUGAUGCUAGCAAUACUGUCAUUCUUUCUCCAAAUAUUUUUUCAAUUGCUAACCAGUGGAAAAUCUAAUUAAUUUGAGUUUCACUGAAUUUCAUCUUUACUUUCCUCCCAUCCAGGGCUUGUUGGGGAAAUCUUAACACAUAGCAACAAGAAGAACGGUAGACAAUUAGUAAUCUAAGAUAACUAAGAGUUGGCCAUAUUGUUAUUAUAAUUAUACAGAAGCUUAUUUACAUAUUCUUUGUUUUAUAUCAAGUUUUGAGUUCUUAUAGAGGAAAAACAGGAUUUUGAUUAAAUAUAAAAUGGGUAGUUAAAUCACUAAAUAGGACACACUUUGUAGGAAGCUAAAGCACAUGUAAUUAUUCAGGUAAUCAUUACUGAUUAUUCCCUUGACAUACAUAUUUACAAGUCUAAACAAAAUGUACAACUGUAAAUACUGUAUUUUUUUAACAUCUUGUUUUCUAUCCUCAAAGCAGAUUUCUUAGACCCAGCGAAAAUAAAUUUUUCAAGUGCCUGCAUUAGAAAAUUUUACAACUGAUGUAAUCAUUCACAUUUGAAGAAUGUCAUGAUUUAUUUUUUAAAUUUGAAGUCUUAAUUAUUGAAAAUAUUUCUUGUUAAUAUAGUUUAUUUGCACGUUAAGUAAAAUAACAUAAGUAGGGCACUUCAUAUUGCCUUCUGAAUUUGCUGUGUCUUGCCUAUAACAAAACAAGUCACUCUGGGUUUAUCCCAGAUGAGUCACAAAGCAAGAGUUUGGACUUCAUCAUUAGUUUCAGUUCUAUUUUUAGAGGUAUGGGGAUAGAAAGAAGUUCUUAAUCUGGAGAUAUUUAAAAUGGCCUUUGUAGUUUUCUUCAGAAAGGAAAAAGGCUGUCAAACUUCCAGACCAUCACAGCCUACUUUAAAUAUAUAACUAUUUUGUACAAAAUGUUUACAUUCCACAUCUUAUCAAUGUAUAAAAUAACACUGCCACUGACAUCAAUGGAAUUUCAUGGCAACGGAACGAGUUAGUAAGCCUUAUCAAAAUAGGCAUUUUCGCCCUCCUUUAAAAUUUAUAAUUGUCCAAGUAUAAAUAAUCAAAAGGAUGUAGUUUCUUUCCACAUACUACUUACAGAUUGACUACUGUCUAAAAAAGCACAAAGUUCACGGACAAAUUUUUCUCUCCUUGUUCUUUCUAAAACAGACAUAAAAUGGAACACAAUCUUAGACUAAAGUCCAAAUUAUAGGUAAGAAAACAAAAACGAAGUGACACAGGAGGGUGGAGGUGAAUUUUCAAAUAUUGAUUAACUUACAAGAUUCAUAAGUGUUUCAUUUCUCAUUAAGCAUUGGUUUGCUGUUUUCUGUAACAUAUGAACAUUUCAAAUUGAUUAAGAAUAGAAUUUUCAUAUAACAUUAGAUUUUUCUCAUUUGUAUCCAAAGAUUCUCAUUUUCAUUCUACUCUAACUUUUCUUUGAAAACAUAUCUCAAAAAUAGAAAAAAUGCCCAAUGCGAAGUUUUAGUUACUUGGUAGAAAAACUGAAAAGGAGAGAAAAUAAUUUUCGCAAUUUCAGAUGAAAAAAUCUAUAUAUCAAGUGGGUUUUGAUCGCUUAAAGAAUUUGAAAAUACACUGUAUAUAACAUUUUAUAAAGUAGUCUUAACAGCCAGAUUAAUGUUAGCGUGCUCUGGGUCUAGUUUUAACUGUAUACUUCUUACAACAUAAUGAAAGAACGACUGAUUUGGUAAUGAACUGUUGAUUAAACUGACCCCAUCAAACACUACUCAUUAUUUUGGUGGAAAUAUUUACAAGCAAUUACAGUCACUGAUUUCUCGCAGUUGUUUCUUGUUAUCUUACUGACUUUACAACUCCCCAACGUAAAGGUGCAGAAAACUGUUUACCCUCCUUUU